GAUAAUAAUGUAAAUGAAACGGACGUUACCGAAAAUCUUUUAAACGCUUCUGAAAGCAAAAUAAAUAUAAGUAACUUCAUCCUUAGAUUUUGUUUGAGAUGCAAGAACACGAGUAAAUGCAUUGGCCAACAAAU